rnacentral:rRNA from 1 species
AUUGAACGCUGGCGGCAUGCCUUACACAUGCAAGUCGAACGGCAGCAUGGGUGCUUGCACCUGAUGGCGAGUGGCGAACGGGUGAGUAAUGCAUCGGAACGUACCCGGAAGUGGGGGAUAACGUAGCGAAAGUUACGCUAAUACCGCAUACGAUCUACGGAUGAAAGCGGGGGAUCGCAAGACCUCGCGCGAAUGGAGCGGCCGAUGUCAGAUUAGGUAGUUGGUGGGGUAAAGGCUCACCAAGCCAACGAUCUGUAGCUGGUCUGAGAGGACGACCAGCCACACUGGAACUGAGACACGGUCCAGACUCCUACGGGAGGCAGCAGUGGGGAAUUUUGGACAAUGGGCGCAAGCCUGAUCCAGCCAUUCCGCGUGCAGGAUGAAGGCCUUCGGGUUGUAAACUGCUUUUGUACGGAACGAAACGGCGAGCUCUAAUACAGUUUGCUAAUGACGGUACCGUAAGAAUAAGCACCGGCUAACUACGUG